rnacentral:rRNA from 1 species
CGGAUUGUAGUCUGNAACCCGACUACAUGAAGCUGGAAUUGCUAGUAAUCGCGGAUCAGAAUGCCGCGGUGAAUACGUUCCCGGGUCUUGUACACACCGCCCGUCACACCAUGGGAGUCGGAAAUGCCCGAAGUCUGUGACCCAACCUUAGGGAGGGAGCAGCCGAAGGCAGGUCGGAUGACUGGGGUGAAGUCGUAACAAGGUACC